rnacentral:lncRNA from 1 species
UCUGUGCCGCAAAGUCACUCACUGGUGACCUGAACCAUCUGUAUUCUCUCACCAACCCAGUUUAUUGCUUGUCUCUCUCUGGGAAUAUCAAGGAAAAAAAAUGGAGAAGAAGGAGUCUUAAUGGAACGUGUUCCCCUUAAUUAUCAUUAUAUCAGUCCUCUUUUCCCUAUAGGGGUUCCUGUCAGUCUCCCCCUGGACCCACCCCCUUCCUGAAUCAAAACGCUGGAAUCUUCUAUUGCUUCUCUUUAGCUAGCAUGCAGAGACAGAGAAAUAAA